rnacentral:rRNA from 1 species
GACGGAGGAUGCAAGUGUUAUCCGGAAUCACUGGGCGUAAAGCGUCUGUAGGUGGUUUAAUAAGUCUACUGUUAAAGCUUGAAGCUUAACUUCAAAAAUGCCGUAGAAACUUUUAAACUUGAGUAUGGUAGGGGUAGAGGGAAUUUCCAGUGGAGCGGUGAAAUGCGUAGAUCUUGGAAAGACCACCAAUGGCGAAGGCACUCUACUGGGCCAUAACUGACACUAAGAGACGAAAGCUAGGGGAGCAAAUGGG